rnacentral:rRNA from 1 species
GAUGAACGCUGGCGGCGUGCCUAAUACAUGCAAGUCGAGCGAACAGACGAGGAGCUUGCUCCUCUGACGUUAGCGGCGGACGGGUGAGUAACACGUGGAUAACCUACCUAUAAGACUGGGAUAACUUCGGGAAACCGGAGCUAAUACCGGAUAAUAUAUUGAACCGCAUGGUUCAAUAGUGAAAGACGGUUUUGCUGUCACUUAUAGAUGGAUCCGCGCCGCAUUAGCUAGUUGGUAAGGUAACGGCUUACCAAGGCAACGAUGCGUAGCCGACCUGAGAGGGUGAUCGGCCACACUGGAACUGGGACACGGUCCAGACUCCUACGGGAGGCAGCAGUAGGGUAUCUUCCGCAAUGGGCGAAAGCCUGACGGAGCAACGCCGCGUGAGUGAUGAAGGUCUUCGGAUCGUAAAACUCUGUUAUUAGGGAAGAACAAAUGUGUAAGUAACUAUGCACGUCUUGACGGUACCUAAUCAGAAAGCCACGGCUAACUACGUG